GCUGAACCUGUUUUCCUGCCCUUUUUCUGGUGGAUUGGAAGCUCGGAGCAUUCUGGAUGUUGAGGUUGCAUGUUGGGUGUGAAGCCAGUGGCUGAUUCCACUGGUGGCACAUGUGCACACCAACCCUGCGAGCACAGCUGUGGGACCAGGCUUGGAAAAGUGGAAUCGAAUCCCUCUCUGCAGAUGAGCACGAAUUGGAGACCUCUUGUGAGGAGAGCACGGGCUGUGCGGAGGAGCUGCCAGCAGGAGAGGGCAGCUCCGGCAGUGGCUCUGGCAGCCCCAGCAGCAGCUCCAGCAGCAGCUCAGAAGAUGACUCAGAUACAGAGGAGUCGGACACAAGGCGGUCAGAUGAAGAGCAAGAAAAGAAAGAAUCGCAGCCAGUUCGCAGUGAAUCAGAUGGAGCGGACUGUCUGCCCCACUGUGAGCACUGCAGAAAGGAAAAUGCCCAGAGGGAGCAAGUGACCCCUAGGAAGCUUUCUGGAGGACAAUAUUUGAUGAAGCUGGAUGCAGAAGGCACAUACGAGUGCAGUGUCACCGGUCUGAUUUUUGAGGUGAACAAGGCGGUCACCAUCAACUACUCCCUGCUGUCCUGGAGCAAAUACGCCGGGCUGGUAAAGGCGCCGUGGGUGGUGGGCGGCCCGCUGUUCGACGUGCGCUGCGAGGCGCCCUCCGCCCUCACCUCCAUCUCCUUCCCGCACUCCCUCUGCCUCGGCGAUGGUGGCUCCCAGCCGGCCUUCAAGGUGCUGCACAUCAAGGGUGCAGGUGCGGCCAUGGAGCCGUCCACGGACUUCUCGGCCUCACACGUGCGGUGGCUGGUCAGCUCGCUGUCCCCCGUCGGGCCGCUCAUCCGCGGUGAGGAGCCCCUGCUCUACCACGGAGCUGUCAUCCUCUACAAGGCCAUCGAUGACGACCCCUCCUUGCUGUUCCGGGUCUACGUGGCGACGAACAACGACUCCUUCAUCAAGGAUAUAUCAAGAGCAGUAAAACAUUCCAAAAAGAAAUUCAUUAAAAUUGACAAGCCCCCUGUGUGCCAGAAAUUAUUACAGAAGGGAAAGAGAUACAGAUUAAUUUGUGAACCAGAAGCUGAAAUAACUCCAGAGGAAAUUGAAUUUGUUGAUGGAUCUCUUUUGAAGCUGAAAAGUUACAUUGAAGUCUAUUUUGAGAAACCUGAUGACUUCACCUUAUCUUUGGUUGAACUGGACUCGGAUGCAGUUGUGUGGAAAGCAAAACUCAGAGAAAGUGACUGGAUACAUUAUGAUCAGAACAAAAAUGAGCAAACAAGAGUUCCAAGCAGCGUCAAAAGGCGGAAAUCAACCAACAGCUUUUCUGAAGAAGAGAAACACUGUAGCAAAAAGCAAAGGCCUAACAGUUAUACAGAUGGAAUUAAAAGCAGAAGCUUGCUAACUGAUCGACAGCUGAUGGUAAUUGCAAAGUUGUUUGGCGUGGAGUGGAAAGAAAUUGCCAUUGAAUGUCUUCAGAUGGAAAUGAAAGACAUUCAGCAGAUUCAAGCAAACGAAGAGGCAGUCAAUAUCCAGAAAUUUCUGAUGUUAAGCAAGUGGAGAGAAAGAGAGCAAAGCAAUGGAACUGCACAAGCCUUGUGCAAUAGGCUCCGUGAAAAAGUGUCAUAUGAAAUAGUGCAGGCACUGGAAGGCUUUUUGGCUGAGUGAUGAGUUGGAGAAGCUGAUGAGAAGCUCAGGAACUUUCCCCACCCAAUGGUUAAACUUUUCAAGCUAUUUUCCUGGGAUUUCAUUGUGAUGAAGAUCCAAAUCGUAAUCAGUCAGCGGAAAGUUUAGAGUGUCUUCAACAGAAAUGUGAAUGAAAUUUUGCACCUACGCAAGUCUCUGUGCUGAGAUACAGCUGUCUGCUGCUUGUACGUCACAAGCCAUAUUCUCACCCCUUUGUGCUCCUCUCCUUGGUCAAAUGGUGUUUCUGGUCAGGCCUUUUCCUGGGGAUCCCUUGUGCAUCCCUUGUGGGCUCUUCUGCUGCUGUAGGAUUUAGGGGACACGCAGUGGGACACAGGAACAGCUUGUGGAGCUGCCCUUGGCUCUUCUCUCUGAGGCAAGCAAAGGAGAAUUGCCAUCAGGGACACAGGGUGCCUUGCCCAGGGGAGCUGGGUGGUUGGUGGGGACAACCAGCCCACAGCAUGGGGUUGGAACAGCAUGGGCUUUAGGGUCCCUUCCAACCUAAGCCAUCCUCCCUGCAGCAGCCGGGGCGAUGCCAGUGUCCCCAUCUCUCCAAGCAGAUUCCUGCUGGUCAGUGGUUCUUCUCAUUGCUGCUGAAGUUUUCACUUCUCUUACAACAUUUCAAGUCAGCUGCUGCUUUCUCUCUGCUUUUGUGGUGAGAGACCCUGUAUAAGCAAGCAGAGCAGUGGUGAGCUUGGAAAAGGGAGUGGGAGGGUGCUUGUCUCAGCAUCUCUCCCUGGGUUUUCAACUGAAGCUCAGUUUUUGUUUCAAAAUGACAGGGGGUUCUCUCUGUAUGCUAAGAAGUUAAUAAACAGCUGUCGUUCUCCAUGUGCAACAGCAGGCACCAAUAAUAAAAAAGCAGGUGACAUUAUGCAGUUUUGCCCUAUUGAAGAUUGAAACAAUUUAUCUCAUAAAAGAGAGCAUGAGGGGGAUACAUUUCCCAGAAUAUCAGUGCUAGUUUUACCACAAGCCAGUGGUUCUAGUGCGUGCAGAUAGUAAUUCACAACACCAAAUGCCUUUGUUGGAGGGUGUGAUGCCUUACCUUUGUAAGCUCACUACCCAAUUAGCUAAUUUCUUCUCAAUUAUGGCACUGAGAGCAGGGAUGUUUGCGUAUCCUCAGUGGUUAUUUCUUAGAUAGGUUCUUAAAUAUGAAUCUCUCCAAACACACAACAUCAAGUGGGUUUGCAAGAAGAGAGGAAGACUUUCCCUGCAAUGGAAGAGAUGGAGGGGAAAGGCUGUGCCCAGCUGCCUGCCUGGCACAGCAGGGAUCAGAUAGUAGCUGUGGAGCAUGGAGGAAAACCAGUAUCAACCUGCCAAACUCCCAGCUCCCCGGUGACUGCACAACGCAACGCUGCUCCUAAAACCCCAUUAAAGAUGGAAGGAACAAGAUGGAAGUGCUUACUUGCAUCAUGUCGUCAAUGGAUGUCAGCACCCUCAGAUCCUUGAGGUUCCUCAGCUCUGCCUUGUAGGUUUUCAGAUCUUCGUAGAUCCCCCGCAGGCAUUUGCUCUGCAAAAGUCAGGAUUAAUAAGAGAUGCUGGAACUUGUUGCCAAGUGCUAGAAGUGCUAAACAAAGGUUCUCUAUAGAGGCUCACAGCUUACCGUAUCUAAAGUAGAACUUUCCAGUACUGGACAGUUUCCAGCCUGCAAAUAAAUUAAAGAAGAAGUGAUCAUUUCAUUUAGUGACAACGUGUUAUACGGCUGCUGGAGAAAAUAUGAUGCUGAAAGCUGGCUGUUUUGGUUUUACCCCUGGAUCCUCAGAUGUGCAGGAUUUUAUUGUGUUGAUUUGGCUGUUGGUGACAUCUUCAAGAUCAACCUCUUCAAGGGUGCAUUCAAAUCCCAGCACUCCCUGUUUCUGUGUUAAAAAGGGGGGAAAAGGGGUAAAUGAUUCAGCUUCAGAAAACAGCAAUUAGAGAGUCUCGAAAUCACUGAAUGUUUGUGCUGAAUAUAAAGCACUAGAAAGUGAAAAAAAGAAAAUACAGAGGCAGUGCUCACUGAUACCCUGCAACUUUGGGAAACUCUUUAGUGGUUUUCUUUCGUGCUUCUCUGAGAUGAAGCUUGCAACUCUAACAGGGGACUUUGGCAGAAAUUCUCAUCUUGAUGGGGAUUUAGGGGCAGAAGGGCUCUGUAACAGCAAAGCCAGAGCACCAGCAUGCAAAUGCAACGAGCUUGGGAGCAGGUGUCUGCAGAGGCGUUAGAGAAACAAGUGCUCAAAAGCAAGCAGUGCGAUUGGUUGAUGAGAUGGAUGAGAGCUGAGAGACACCUGUGCAAACACAGGUGCUGCUGAUGGUGUGGGUGGGCACUAGGAGCAGUUACUGGCCUGCUGGCAGUUCAAAAGGAGACUUCCCCGAGCUGAGUGCACGGUGUAUGUGCCUGCCUGGGAUUUAUCUCCAACAUUUCUCCCACUUGGAUAGCAUCAGGAACCCAUCCCCAUCAUCCUGGGUGCCUUCACCAGCACAUCAUCUGCCUGGACACCAUCCCCAGCCUGUCUCCUGCUUGCUGAGGUUCUGUGGCCCUGAACUGCCAGAUGGGGUGGUUUUAACCACUGAGAGGGGCGAACACAGCUGUAUGGCUGGGCAUACAGAAACGUGGCCUUGCACACAUCAGGCACAAACACUGCUGCUGGGAUGCCUCAUCCCCUUAUGAGAGGUGAGCACAAGGCGCUCCCACCUGAGCCAGCCUUUGCUACUGGAGCAGCACAACGUGGCAAAAUGGCCCCAAAGUGCCCCAAAAUGCUGCGAAAUGCCAAGAGAGCUCUCAGCACCUGGCCUGCUUCAGGGGAAGGAGGGCAGAACAACAAUAAGUAAGUGUCAGUUUAAUAAAAUACAUUCGUGGUGGGGGGAUGGAAUUUGGAUGCGUCUCAUGCUUUGCUGCAGACACCCUGAAUAAGUCAUCAGCCGAGUGCUUUGCUAAGGGCAAUCUGUCAUGGGGCUGGGGGGAAUGAAAAUGUGGAAGGCAAAGGUCCCUGCUCCUGGGAGCAGAGCAGGGCAGGGACACAGUGCCCACAGAGCAGGGCACAGCCCCAAGGCAGGGGGGAGCUGCUGCCAUAUUGCAUACAUUUCAGAUGCUGCUGAAGAUUUUUAACAUAGAUUCUUCUUUCUCUAAACUUCUGACACGGGGGAGUCAUUGAGCUAUUCAGCAUGGAUAAUAAAAUAUAGAAACAUCUAUGUGUGUGCCUGGGCCUAACAACAGUCACAAUAUUAGGGCCUGCUGAAUGCUAGUAUAGAAGAAUAGCUGAAGCCCGUGUCAUACAUACAUGAUGAGCUUACAGGUAAGUAGCUGUACAACAGUCCUGUCUUCUCUGCACAACUGUACGUGCUUGGCUCUUUUUGGUGAUGACAAAGGAGGCAUUGCACACUGAGUUGGCUGAGUACAUCACCGAGUCAACCACCGGCCAACAAAAAGACGUGUCAUAUGAAACAAGUUUUUAAAUGUUUAUUUUACAUCUUUAUACAUAAAACUUUCCAGGUAACUCUUUGAAACCCAACUCAAUGUUAAUAGCACAUCUAAAAAUGAACGUCAGGUAGUCAACAUUCACAAAAUGUUGAAAACUGAUUAAAAUGUACAUAUUACCGAAGGUUACGACGUCACUACGAGGCAGGCAUGUCUUUUGGACUUGUAUAGCACCGUCAAGUACAGUCUCUUUAUUUAAAACUACAGUGAAGAAUAAAAAAGUAGUCAAUGGUAAAAUAUCGUCCAACGUAAAACCUCUAAGCAAACAAAAAUAAAGUUAAACUGCCCUCUCUCCUCAGCCAUGUUUUAUAACGUUAUAAGUACUGUACAUCUUUCUGUAAUAAUAUUAUUAAAACGCCUGAUAUUGAGUGGCACGAGUAAAAAAAGAAAAAAAAUAAUUAAAAUAAAUUAAGAAGCGGAGGCCAAUCACCGGACAUAAAGCUUCGGACACGACCAAGGACUAACACUGAUUUGCUGCGCGCCACUGAGGACAUCAGCACGUGUACAGACACAGAAGCGAGGGACAGGCGAGCUCCAUCUCUGCUGCCACAGACUCUGGGGUUACUUUGCUGGCAUCUUCUCUGCCAUGUGCUUCUGCUGGCUCUCGGCAUGUCUGGGAAGGAGCAGCCUGGUUAUGCGUUGGCAAAAGCAUGGAGGUGGGGUAGUGGGACUCUGUAUGCUCACGUCUCCUCCCAGAUCCUGCUCUUGUGGGAUUGAGGUCACCCACAGCCCAAUCCCACCGACCUCCCAUGCUACCCGCAUCUCACCGCGGUGGUGACAUCCCCAUCACCUCCUGCCACCAAUGGGGUUAAGCCAUAGGGCUGCUGCAUGGACACAGCCCGUUUUUCUGCUGGCUUGGUGGCUUCCAAAGGCUGACAGUGGGGGCAAAUGGCCCCUGGACCCCUCCCUCACCUGGUCAGGUCCUCGAUGUCCACCAGCAUCGCAUCCUGCUCCGUGUGCAGCUCAUCCCGGAUGAGCAGCAGCUGCACCAGCUCCUCGUUCAAGCCUGGGGCCGGAGAGAGAGGAGGAGAGUUCGCGCUGAGCAGGGGGAGGUUUGCAAGGAGAGGAAUUUUGCAGUGCUUCAGCCACAGGCAUGAGCAGCUCCACAUCCCUAGCAGGAGCUGCCAGGAGGGACGGUAAUUAACGAACGCGAGCAGUUACAGAGUUGCAGAGCAGCCCAAUGAACGUGUUGGGGCUAUUUUUGUCCUACAGCCACCUGAGACAUUUCCUUUAAGAUUAAUUAAUCAUUGAUAAGGGAAGGUGGAGAUGCAGGGGAAUAACCCUGGCUUCUUUGGAGAGAGCAAAGACAGACAAGGAGGCAAACGCAAGGAUACGUGAGCCAUGUUAAUGUGCUGCAAGACAGAACAUAUGAACUCAGUGGUGUCUAUUGGACCAGAGGGCUUCUCCACUUCUGGAUGCUGCUGAGGCCAUGCAGAGCAUCGUAUCAAAACACAGCCAUAAGGCUGCAUGAAGCCACAAAACUGGCAGUAUUUCUGGCUGCUUUUAGAGGCUGAAGCAAUGCUACCUUACUGAAUGCCUUCUGAAUGCUUGAUGGAUAAAAAGAAAGCAAAAAGCCAAAGGAGCCAGACCUAGCAAACAGCCCACCUCCAGCAGCUCUCCUCUAUGGUUCCAUUCCUGUACAUUUAUCAGCGUUUUUACAUAUAUAAAAUAUAUAUAUAUCCUGAAGUAGACGGUGCUUACUGAAGAAUAAUUAAACAAAGACCACUUACUUUCUA